AGUUUGACAACGAAGCGUAUCUAGUACACCGUUGGUGUAAAAAGCAGCUUGUUUCUGCUUUAAACUUUAAUAAAAACUUAAAAACUAUCUGCAUCGGGACACUCUCGGAACAACACAAAUCGGAAAAUGGAGGAACUAAAAAAACGCAGAGUCAUUCGUAAAGCUGAACGUUGAUGGCUAAUGUGCGUUUACGGAGAAAACAUUCCUGACGAUUUGUAACAGCAAACUCAACCUCAAUACAAGCCGGAAGGAUGAUCUUGUGGUUGCUUGUCAUCCUCUAUGUGGAAGUUCGGGUGGAGGAUGAG